rnacentral:misc_RNA from 1 species
UCGAGUUUUGAACGGGUUGUUGCUGGCCUCAUACGGGGCAUGUGCACGCCUGACUUCACCCACUCUUCAACCUCUGUGCACUUAUUGUAGGCUAGCGUGAAAGGUCGCAUUCAUUUGCGGCUGGAAACCUGUCUACGUUUUACUACAAACGCUUCAGUUAUAGAAUGUUUAUCUGCGUAUAACGCAUUUAUAUA